UUAGGGCGAAUGUCGGAGUAGUCGCUUGUGAUUGAAUUGACAAAAAGUGACUAGACCGAACACUCGUAUCCUAAAUC
rnacentral:pre_miRNA from 21 species